rnacentral:rRNA from 1 species
AGAGUUUGAUCCUGGCUCAGGAUGAACGCUGGCGGCGUGCCUAAUACAUGCAAGUCGAGCGAACGGACGAGAAGCUUGCUUCUCUGAUGUUAGCGGCGGGCGGGGGAGUAACACGUGGAUAACCUACCUAUAAGACUGGGAUAACUUCGGGAAACCGGAGCUAAUACCGGAUAAUAUUUUGAACCGCAUGGUUCAAAAGUGAAAGACGGUCUUGCUGUCACUUAUAGAUGGAUCCGCGCUGCAUUAGCUAGUUGGUAAGGUAACGGCUUACCAAGGCAACGAUGCAUAGCCGACCUGAGAGGGUGAUCGGCCACACUGGAACUGAGACACGGUCCAGACUCCUACGGGAGGCAGCAGUAGGGAAUCUUCCGCAAUGGGCGAAAGCCUGACGGAGCAACGCCGCGUGAGUGAUGAAGGUCUUCGGAUCGUAAAACUCUGUUAUUAGGGAAGAACAUAUGUGUAAGUAACUGUGCACAUCUUGACGGUACCUAAUCAGAAAGCCACGGCUAACUACGUGCCAGCAGCCGCGGUAAUACGUAGGUGGCAAGCGUUAUCCGGAAUUAUUGGGCGUAAAGCGCGCGUAGGCGGUUUUUUAAGUCUGAUGUGAAAGCCCACGGCUCAACCGUGGAGGGUCAUUGGAAACUGGAAAACUUGAGUGCAGAAGAGGAAAGUGGAAUUCCAUGUGUAGCGGUGAAAUGCGCAGAGAUAUGGAGGAACACCAGUGGCGAAGGCGACUUUCUGGUCUGUAACUGACGCUGAUGUGCGAAAGCGUGGGGAUCAAACAGGAUUAGAUACCCUGGUAGUCCACGCCGUAAACGAUGAGUGCUAAGUGUUAGGGGGUUUCCGCCCCUUAGUGCUGCAGCUAACGCAUUAAGCACUCCGCCUGGGGAGUACGACCGCAAGGUUGAAACUCAAAGGAAUUGACGGGGACCCGCACAAGCGGUGGAGCAUGUGGUUUAAUUCGAAGCAACGCGAAGAACCUUACCAAAUCUUGACAUCCUUUGACAACUCUAGAGAUAGAGCCUUCCCCUUCGGGGGACAAAGUGACAGGUGGUGCAUGGUUGUCGUCAGCUCGUGUCGUGAGAUGUUGGGUUAAGUCCCGCAACGAGCGCAACCCUUAAGCUUAGUUGCCAUCAUUAAGUUGGGCACUCUAAGUUGACUGCCGGUGACAAACCGGAGGAAGGUGGGGAUGACGUCAAAUCAUCAUGCCCCUUAUGAUUUGGGCUACACACGUGCUACAAUGGACAAUACAAAGGGCAGCGAAACCGCGAGGUCAAGCAAAUCCCAUAAAGUUGUUCUCAGUUCGGAUUGUAGUCUGCAACUCGACUACAUGAAGCUGGAAUCGCUAGUAAUCGUAGAUCAGCAUGCUACGGUGAAUACGUUCCCGGGUCUUGUACACACCGCCCGUCACACCACGAGAGUUUGUAACACCCGAAGCCGGUGGAGUAACCUUUUAGGAGCUAGCCGUCGAAGGUGGGACAAAUGAUUGGGGUGAAGUCGUAACAAGGUAGCCGUAUCGGAAGGUGCGGCUG